AAUAAUCUUAUUUUCGUUUUUUCGCGUCCAAACGUUUGACCAUUCGUCUUAUUUAAAAAAUUUUGUACAAAAAUUUUAAAAAAUUAGUCACGUAUAAAGUACUAUUUAUAUUUUAUCAUCGAGUAAUGAUAAAAAUAUUAAUCGUAAAAUUUUUUUAAAUAAGACGAAUGGUUAAACGUUGGAUAGAAAAAA
rfam:Oryza brachyantha chromosome 4, whole genome shotgun sequence.